UACAGGAGGGUGCGAGCGUUAAAUCGGAAUUACUGGGCGUAAAGCGUGCGUAGACGGCUAUCUAAAGUCGGGGUGUGAAAAGCCCCGGGCUCAACCCUGGAAUUGCCUUUAAGACUGCAUCGCUUGAACAUCGGAGAGGUAAGUGGAAUUCCGAAGUGUAGAGGUGAAAUUCGUAAGAUAUUGGGAAGAACACCGGUGGCGAAGGCGG
rnacentral:rRNA from 1 species